rnacentral:rRNA from 1 species
GACAGAGGGUGCAAACGUUGUUCGGAAUUACUGGGCGUAAAGCGUGUGUAGGUGGUUUGUUAAGUCUGUUGUGAAAGCCCCGGGCUCAACCUGGGAAUGGCAAUGGAUACUGGCAAGCUAGAGUGCGGUAGAGGGUAGUGGAAUUCCCGGUGUAGCGGUGAAAUGCGUAGAGAUCGGGAGGAACACCAGUGGCGAAGGCGGCUACCUGGACCAGCACUGACACUGAGGCACGAAAGCGUGGGGAGCAAACAGG